GAGAGGGGCCCGUUGGCAAUAAUGACUGCUAAUCCCUUAUCCCCACGGUUAGACUCCGUGGCCCACUCG
rnacentral:tRNA from 1 species